rnacentral:rRNA from 1 species
UACGAAGGGGGCUAGCGUUGCUCGGAUUCACUGGGCGUAAAGGGUGCGUAGGCGGGGCUUUAAGUCAGGGGUGAAAUCCUGGAGCUCAACUCCAGAACUGCCUUUGAUACUGAGGAUCUUGAGUUCGGGAGAGGUGAGUGGAACUGCGAGUGUAGAGGUGAAAUUCGUAGAUAUUCGCAAGAACACCAGUGGCGAAGGCGGCUCACUGGCCCGAUACUGACGCUGAGGCACGAAAGCGUGGGGAGCAAACAGG